UGGCUGACGUGUGCCCUUUCCGGGCGCAGUUUGAACGACGUUUGCGAGCGGGCGGUCACGCUGCACCUCAAGGCUCUUCAAAUGCACCAGUUAGUCUGGAGACCUCUGCAUUUCGUCGACCCCAUUCCGGUUCACAGAAUAUGCGAAGUCUGCGGUUUUCUUUCAAAACGGACUGCCUUUCUGCCCUGUCGACACGUUUUUUGCGAAACUUGUUACGAGCAAUGCUUCAUCAACCAGGCUUACGAGUGUCCUCUGGACAUUGCAGAGUUUAGUGAUCGAGACGUCCAAUGAAUGGAAUUUCCUUUGGAGAAUCUGCUGACGCGCAAGGUGAAAUGUUGGAACGAGGAUAAAGGCUGCCAAGCGGUCUUGAAAGUUUCAGAGAUGCUCGAGCAUUUUGAUAAAUAUUGCAUCCAUCACACAACGCGUUGUUGCAACUGCUCGGCGAUCGUACUUUGUAGGAAUGUGUGUGCGCAUCGGAGGAGUAACUGCAGCAUGCAUGCACAAUAAAACCAGGCUCAGCUCCUUAAACCACCCAUGCACUGUUUUCAGGAAGCGAUGAUUACCACUUUGCACAUAAGGAGACAACGUGUGGAAAGUAUGACCUCAUGUACUGAACUGGUUGCAGUAGACCACAACAGCCUGUGCGAUAGACUGAGCGAAGUGUCGUACGUUGUCAAUGCUCUGAGGGAGGCCGUGAUAGAUGUGUCCGAGAGGCAGAUGAUUAACUCCAAUGACGCUAGGAUCGCCGCGGUUACAGAAGUGAAGGAAGAGUUGGCUGCCAAAGGGGACAACCUUGAUCAAGUUGCACGGUGGAUACGUGCUUCGGGGGAAGAUGUUAAAGUCGUCGCUGACAGGACAAGGCGGUGUCUGAACAUUCUAGAGGAGAGUCAGUAAAAAAUCCGGUGGCGCAUUGCAACAGACGCCAACACAAUGCAAAAAGUCUCGUACACCGUGGGCGCCUUCUAGAGUGUUCUUGGUGACGUGCUUAAGCAUGCAGUAGAGACUACUUUUGAAAAUGUUUAAAGAAUUCGUUAACUGCAUCACUGCAGCGAAGACUAAAGACGAUGAAAGUGAUCAUAAGACAAUCAUUGAGAGGGAAAGUCAGCUUCUUGUGCACAAAACACUUGGUAUUUCGAGCUAUCAUCUUUGGAUUCAAGGACUUGAGGCACUGAAACAAGAGGCAAUAUCCACAAGCUUUGUAGAAUAUUUGUGUCAACCGAUUUACCUUUGCGGCUACCGCAAUUUCCUUGGACUGCAUUUCCGGAAAGGAACGGGUUGUGUGUGGGUGCACGCGUGCAUAAAGCUGUACAAAGGCGAGAUCGAUGAAUUCCUACAGCGGCCUUUCAGUUACAGAAAUCAAGGUUACAUUCCUGCAUCAGUUGUUCUACAGACACAAAGAGUGGCUAAGCUGUACUCCCUUUGCUCCAGGAUAUUUUGGCAGGCUGACCAAAUCAAGCAAUCCAAGCUAUAGUUUGUGCAUUGAGUCGUUUCUCUUGGAUGACCUUGAAAGUGAGGGAUACGUUAUGUUUGAUCGACUCCACCUGAAGUUUGAGCUAGUGCCUCCAACAUAGUAACUUAAUAUUGUUAUGCUUUUUCUGACUUACGUAUAAUGCAUCGUAAGAGCAGCGCAAGUGACAAUUGCACAAAGUGAAUGUCCAAGGGCAUGAUGCUUUCCGAGAAUACAAGGACGCAACAAAUAAACGGCUUUGUGACAAUCUC
rnacentral:lncRNA from 1 species